UCCGAGUUGACCCCGGCAGUCUCCUAUGAGUCCGCGGCAUAAUCCGCUGGCAACAUAGGACAAGGGUUGCGCUCGUUGCGGGACUUAACCCAACACCUCACGGCACGAGCUGACGACAGCCAUGCAGCACCUGAACCGGCAGUCCCCGAAGGGAAAGUCCUAUUUCUAGGACGGUCCACCGUUGUCUAGCCCAGGUAAGGUUCUUCGCGUUGCGUCGAAUUGAACCACAUGCUCCACCGCUUGUGCGGGCCCCCGUCAAUUCCUUCGAGUUUUAGCCUUGCGGCCGUACUUCCCAGGCGGGGUACUUAAUGCGUUAGCUGCGGCACCGGCGGUAACCCGCCGACACUUAGUAUUCAUAGUUUAAGGCGUGGACUAC
rnacentral:misc_RNA from 1 species